rnacentral:rRNA from 1 species
GGUUGGGGAUGGGCUCGCGGCCUAUCAGCUUGUUGGUGAGGUAAUGGCUCACCAAGGCGUCGACGGGUAGCCGGCCUGAGAGGGUGACCGGCCACACUGGGACUGAGACACGGCCCAGACUCCUACGGGAGGCAGCAGUGGGGAAUAUUGCACAAUGGGCGCAAGCCUGAUGCAGCAACGCCGCGUGAGGGAUGACGGCCUUCGGGUUGUAAACCUCUUUUAGCAGGGAAGAAGCGAAAGUGACGGUACCUGCAGAAAAAGCGCCGGCUAACUACGUGCCAGCAGCCGCGGUAAUACGUAGGGCGCAAGCGUUAUCCGGAAUUAUUGGGCGUAAAGAGCUCGUAGGCGGUUUGUCGCGUCUGCUGUGAAAUCCGGAGGCUCAACCUCCGGCCUGCAGUGGGUACGGGCAGACUAGAGUGCGGUAGGGGAGAUUGGAAUUCCUGGUGUAGCGGUGGAAUGCGCAGAUAUCAGGAGGAACACCGAUGGCGAAGGCAGAUCUCUGGGCCGUAACUGACGCUGAGGAGCGAAAGGGUGGGGAGCAAACAGGCUUAGAUACCCUGGUAGUCCACCCCGUAAACGUUGGGAACUAGUUGUGGGGUCCAUUCCACGGAUUCCGUGACGCAGC